rnacentral:rRNA from 1 species
CUCACCAGAGUACCAAUUGGAGGGCAAGUCUGGUGCCAGCAGCCGCGGUAAUUCCAGCUCCAAUAGCGUAUAUUAAACUUGUUGCAGUUAAAAAGCUCGUAGUUGAAUUUCAGCGUUUCGCGUGUGCCUCUUUUGGCCCAUCUCGUCUCGCUUUUUUUAUUACUUUGAGAAAAUUAGAGUGUUUCAAGCAGGCUUUUGUCUUGAAUACUUGAGCAUGGAAUAAUAGAGUAGGACCUUGGUUCUAUUUUGUUGGUUUUGUUACCUUGGUAAUGGUUAAUAGGAACGGUUGGGGGCAUUCGUAUUUAACUGUCAGAGGUGAAAUUCUUAGAUUUGUUAAAGACGAACUACUGCGAAAGCAUUUGCCAAGGACGUUUCCAUUAAUCAAGAACGAAAGUUAGGGGAUCGAAGACGAUCAGAUACCGUCGUAGUCCUAACCAUAAACUA